CCUACGGGUGGCAGCAGUGGGGAAUAUUGCACAAUGGGGGAAACCCUGAUGCAGCGACGCCGCGUGAGUGAAGAAGUAACUCGGUAUGGAAAGCUCUAUCAGCAGGGAAGAAAAUGACGGUACCUGUGUAAGAAGCCCCGGCUAACUACGUGCCAGCAGCCGCGGUAAUACGUAGGGGGCAAGCGUUAUCCGGAUUUACUGGGUGUAAAGGGAGCGUAGACGGCAGUGCAAGUCAGGAGUGAAAGGCGGGGGCUCAACCCCAGGACUGCUCUUGAAACUGUACGGCUGGAGUGCAGGAGAGGUAGGUGGAAUUCCUGGUGUAGCGGUGAAAUGCGUAGAUAUUAGGAGGAACACCAGUGGCGAAGGCGGCUUACUAGACUGUAACUGACGUUGAGGCUCGAAAGCGUGGGGAGCAAACAGGAUUAGAUACCCCAGUAGUC
rnacentral:rRNA from 1 species